rnacentral:rRNA from 1 species
ACGUAGGUCACAAGCGUUGUCCGGAAUUACUGGGUGUAAAGGGAGCGCAGGCGGGGGAUCAAGUUGGAAGUGAAAUCCAUGGGCUCAACCCAUGAACUGCUUUCAAAACUGAUCGUCUUGAGUAGUGCAGAGGUAGGCGGAAUUCCCGGUGUAGCGGUGGAAUGCGUAGAUAUCGGGAGGAACACCAGUGGCGAAGGCGGCCUACUGGGCACCAACUGACGCUGAGGCUCGAAAGUGUGGGUAGCAAACAG